GGACUUUCUAGUAUGUUGCAGUAUGAAGAAGAAGUUGGUGGCAUGGAUGGGAUUAGAGUGUGUAAAAAUGCACCAUCAGUUUCACACCUUUUAUUUGCUGAUGAUUCUCUAAUUCUCAUGAAAGCAGAUGUGUUAAAUGCAACUUCCUUACAGCAGACGCUAGAUACCUAUUGCCAGAGUUCAGGACAAAUGAUGAGUUUGGCUAAGUCAAGUAUUUUCUUCAGUCCAAAUACAAGUGUAGUGUCAAAAGCGGAGAUUUGUGAGAUUCUGCACAUUGAUACAGAAGCAUUAUCUGACAAAUACCUAGGCCUCCCAGCUCUAGUGGGAGCUGAUAGAAGUGACUGCUUCAGACAUUUUGUAGAGAGAAUUAAAAUUAGAUUAUUGGGAUGGAUG
rnacentral:rRNA from 1 species